AACGCGAAGAACCUUACCUGGGCUUGAACCGCACAGGACCAGCUUGAGAAAUCAGGCCUUCCCGCAAGGGACCUGUGUAGAGGUGCUGCAUGGCUGUCGUCAGCUCGUGCCGUGAGGUGUUGGGUUAAGUCCCGCAACGAGCGCAACCCUUACUCAUAGUUGCUACCCGCAAGGGAGAACUCUAUGAGGACUGCUCCGGAUAACGGAGAGGAAGGUGGGGAUGAGGUCAAGUCAGCAUGGCCUUUAUGUCCAGGGCUACACACGUGUUACAAUGCGCGCCACAAAGCGUCGCGAACCCGCGAGGGGGAGCUAAUCGCAAAAAAGCGCGCUCAGUUCGGAUUGCAGUCUGCAACUCGACUGCAUGAAGCCGGAAUCGCUAGUAAUGGCGCAUCAGAACGGCGCCGUGAAUACGUUCCCGGGCCUUGUA
rnacentral:rRNA from 1 species